GUGCUCGCUUCGGCAGCACAUAUACUAAAAUUGGAACAAUACAGAGUAAAUUAGCAUGGCCCCUGCACAAGGAUGACAUGCAAAUUCAUGAAGCAUUCUAGAUAUAC